rnacentral:rRNA from 1 species
CGCUGUCUAGCAUGCGAGUCAUUGUAGCAUACAAGGCAUACGGCUCAGUAACGCGUAGUCAACCUAACCUAUGGACGGGAAUAACCUCGGGAAACUGAGAAUAAUGCCCGAUAGAACACUAUACCUGGAAUGGUUUGUGUUCCAAAUGAUUUAUCGCCAUAGGAUGGGACUGCGGCCUAUCAGUUUGUUGGUGAGGUAAUGGCCCACCAAGACUAUUACAGGUACGGGCUCUGAGAGGAGUAGCCCGGAGAUGGGUACUGAGACACGGACCCAGGCCCUAUGGGGCGCAGCAGGCGAGAAAACUUUGCAAUGUGCGAAAGCACGACAAGGUUAAUCCGAGUGAUUUGUGCUAAACGAAUCUUUUGUUAGUCCUAGAAACACUAACGAAUAAGGGGUGGGCAAGUUCUGGUGUCAGCCGCCGCGGUAAAACCAGCACCUCAAGUGGUCAGGAUGAUUAUUGGGCCUAAAGCAUCCGUAGCCGGCUCUGUAAGUUUUCGGUUAAAUCUGUACGCUUAACGUACAGGCUGCCGGGAAUACUGCAGAGCUAGGGAGUGGGAGAGGUAGACGGUACUCGGUAGGAAGUGGUAAAAUGCUUUGAUCUAUCGAUGACCACCUGUGGCGAACGCGGUCUACCAGAACACGUCCGACGGUGAGGGAUGAAAGCUGGGGGGAGCAAACCGGAUUAGAUACCCGGGUAGUCCCAGCUGUAACUAUGCAACUUCACUGAUGCAUUGGCUAGCUGGCCAAUGCAGUGGCUUGCCAG